rnacentral:rRNA from 1 species
UACGAAGGGGGCUAGCGUUGUUCGGAAUUACUGGGCGUAAAGCGCGUGUAGGCGGGUCUUUAAGUCAGAGGUGAAAUCCCUCGGCUUAACCGGGGAACUGCGUCUGAUACUGGAUGGCUUGAGUUCGGGAGAGGGAUGCGGAAUUCCAGGUGUAGCGGUGAAAUGCGUAGAUAUCUGGAGGAACACCGGUGGCGAAGGCGGCAUCCUGGACCGACACUGACACUGAGGAGCGAAAGCCAGGGGAGCAAACGGG